rnacentral:ncRNA from 1 species
CACCGCCCGUCGCUCCUACCGAUUGAAUGGUCCGGUGAAGUGUUAGGUCGUGGCGACGUGGGCGGUUCGCUGCCCGCGACGUCGCGAGAAUUCCACUGAACCUUAUCAUUUAGAGGAAGGAGAAGUCGUAACAAGGUUUCCGUAGGUGAACCUGCGAAGG